rnacentral:rRNA from 1 species
GAUGAACGCUGGCGGCGUGCCUAAUACAUGCAAGUCGAGCGAACGGACGAGAAGCUUGCUUCUCUGAUGUUAGCGGCGGACGGGUGAGUAACACGUGGAUAACCUACCUAUAAGACUGGGAUAACUUCGGGAAACCGGAGCUACUACCGGAUAAUAUUUUGAACCGCAUGGUUCAAAAGUGAAAGACGGUCUUGCUGUCACUUAUAGAUGGAUCCGCGCUGCAUUAGCUAGUUGGUAAGGUAACGGCUUACCAAGGCAACGAUGCAUAGCCGACCUGAGAGGAUGAUCGGCGACACUGGAACUGAGACACGGUCCAGACGCCUACGGGAGGAAGCAGUAGGGAAUCUUCCGCAAUGGGCGAAAGCCUGACGGAGCAACGCCGCGUGAGUGAUGAAGGUCUUCGGAUCGUAAAACUCUGUUAUUAGGGAAGAACAUAUGUGUAAGUAACUGUGCACAUCUUGACGGUACCUAAUCAGAAAGCCACGGCUAACUACGUG